UGGGGAAUUUUGGACAAUGGGGGCAACCCUGAUCCAGCCAUUCCGCGUGAGUGAAGAAGGCCUUCGGGUUGUAAAGCUCUUUCGCAAGGGAAGAAAACUUAUGAUCGAAUAAAUCAUGAGGUUGACGGUACCUUGAUAAGAAGCACCGGCUAACUACGUGCCAGCAGCCGCGGUAAUACGUAGGGUGCGAGCGUUAAUCGGAAUUACUGGGCGUAAAGCGUGCGCAGGCGGUUUUGUAAGUCGGAUGUGAAAUCCCCGGGCUCAACCUGGGAACUGCGUUCGAAACUGCAAGGCUAGAGUGUGUCAGAGGGGGGUAGAAUUCCACGUGUAGCAGUGAAAUGCGUAGAGAUGUGGAGGAAUACCAAUGGCGAAGGCAGCCCCCUGGGAUAACACUGACGCU
rnacentral:rRNA from 1 species